rnacentral:rRNA from 1 species
AUGCAAGUCGAGCGGGAUUUCUUUUGGUAGCAAUACCGAAGGAAAUUCAGCGGCGAACGGGUGCGUAACACGUGGGCAAUCUGUCUUAAAGUGGGGGAUAGCUCGGCGAAAGCCGAAUUAAUACCGCAUGUGAUCAGGGAAGACAUCUUUCCGAAAUCAAAGGUGGCGCAAGCUACCGCUUUUUGAGGGGCCCGCGGCCUAUCAGCUUGUUGGUGAGGUAACGGCUCACCAAGGCGUUGACGGGUAGCUGGUCUGAGAGGACGACCAGUCACACUGGGACUGAGACACGGCCCAGACACCUACGGGUGGCAGCAGUCGAGAAUUUUUGACAAUGGGGGAAACCCUGAUCGAGCGACGCCGCGUGGAGGAUGAAGGUCUUCGGGUUGUAAACUCCUGUCAUUUGGGAACAAGGCGCGUGUAUUAACUGUGCACGCGUUGAUAGUACCAGAAGAGGAAGAGACGGCUAACUCUGUGCCAGCAGCCGCGGUAAUACAGAGGUCUCAAGCGUUGUUCGGAUUCAUUGGGCGUAAAGGGUGUGUAGGUGGCGCCGUAAGUCGGGUGUGGAAUUUCGGAGCUUAACUCCGAAACUGCAUUCGAUACUGCGGUGCUUGAGGACUGGAGAGGAGACUGGAAUUUACGGUGUAGCAGUGAA